GAUGAACGCUAGCGACAGGCCUAACACAUGCAAGUCGAGGGGCAGCACAAUGCGUAGCAAUACAAAUGGUGGCGACCGGCGCACGGGUGAGUAACACGUAUGCAACCUACCUAUAAGUGGGGAAUAACCCGGAGAAAUCCGGACUAAUACCGCAUAAUACUUGUUAAUCUGCAUGGAUUACAAGUUAAACAUUUAUGGCUUAUAGAUGGGCAUGCGUAUGAUUAGUUAGUUGGUGAGGUAACGGCUCACCAAGACAUCGAUCAUUAGGGGUUCUGAGAGGAAGGUCCCCCACACUGGUACUGAGACACGGACCAGACUCCUACGGGAGGCAGCAGUGAGGAAUAUUGGUCAAUGGGCGAGAGCCUGAACCAGCCAAGUCGCGUGAAGGAAGACGGUUCUAUGGAUUGUAAAACUUCUUUUGUAAGGGAAUAAAGUUCACUACGUGUAGUGUUUUGUAUGUACUUUACGAAUAAGGAUCGGCUAACUCCGUGCCAGCAGCCGC
rnacentral:rRNA from 1 species